rnacentral:rRNA from 1 species
CACUGCCGAGAAAAGCCUCUAGAUAGAAAAUAGGUGCCCGUACCGCAAACCGACACAGGUAGUCAAGAUGAGAAUUCUAAGGUGAGCGAGCGAACUCUCGUUAAGGAACUCGGCAAAAUGACCCCGUAACUUCGGGAGAAGGGGUGCUCUUUAGGGUUAACGCCCAGAAGAGCCGCAGUGAAUAGGCCCAAGCGACUGUUUAUCAAAAACACAGGUCUCUGCUAAACCGUAAGGUGAUGUAUAGGGGCUGACGCCUGCCCGGUGCUGGAAGGUUAAGAGGAGUGGUUAGCUUCUGCGAAGCUACGAAUCGAAGCCCCAGUAAACGGCGGCCGUAACUAUAACGGUCCUAAGGUAGCGAAAUUCCUUGUCGGGUAAGUUCCGACCCGCACGAAAGGCGUAACGAUUUGGGCACUGUCUCAACGAGAGACUCGGUGAAAUCAUAGUACCUGUGAAGAUGCAGGUUACCCGCGACAGGACGGAAAGACCCCGUGGAGCUUUACUGUAGCCUGAUAUUGAAAUUCGGCACAGCUUGUACAGGAUAGGUAGGAGCCUUUGAAACGUGAGCGCUAGCUUACGUGGAGGCGCUGGUGGGAUACUACCCUAGCUGUGUUGGCUUUCUAACCCGCACCACUUAUCGUGGUGGGAGACAGUGUCAGGCGGGCAGUUUGACUGGGGCGGUCGCCUCCUAAAAGGUAACGGAGGCGCUCAAAGGUUCCCUCAGAAUGGUUGGAAAUCAUUCAUAGAGUGUAAAGGCAUAAGGGAGCUUGACUGCGAGACCUACAAGUCGAGCAGGGUCGAAAGACGGACUUAGUGAUCCGGUGGUUCCGCAUGGAAGGGCCAUCGCUCAACGGAUAAAAGCUACCCCGGGGAUAACAGGCUUAUCUCCCCCAAGAGUUCACAUCGACGGGGAGGUUUGGCACCUCGAUGUCGGCUCAUCGCAUCCUGGGGCUGUAGUCGGUCCCAAGGGUUGGGCUGUUCGCCCAUUAAAGCGGUACGCGAGCUGGGUUCAGAACGUCGUGAGACAGUUCGGUCCCUAUCCGUCGUGGGCGUAGGAAAUUUGAGAGGAGCUGUCCUUAGUACGAGAGGACCGGGAUGGACAUACCUCUGGUGUACCAGUUGUCGUGCCAACGGCAUAGCUGGGUAGCUAUGUGUGGACGGGAUAAGUGCUGAAAGCAUCUAAGCAUGAAGCCCCCCUCAAGAUGAGAUUUCCCAACUUCGGUUAUAAGA